rnacentral:rRNA from 1 species
AUGAAUGGAUCAGGAAGCUGCCGCCGUCGCCGCCGCUCCCGUCCACCCCCUCCCCCCGCUAAAGAGGCUGCCCUUGCAGUUCCUGGUGCCCGACACCAUCCCGAUCUCCACCUCUCUGGUCAAGGCCGUCGGCCGUGCGCAGCCGGCGGAGAAGUCGCGCGGUGGCGGGCGAGCUGGACUAGGUCAUCGGCAUCAACAAGGAGAUCUGACGCGUGGUGCGGAUCCUAUAGCGACGCGCAUGAACAACCCCGUCAUCACCAAGCCGCCGUCGCGGUCAACGUCGCCGGCGCCUCGCCGGCGCCAGAAUCAAUCAUCGCCGCCGGCACUCCAUCAUUGACGCUGGCGCCAGAGCCUGCCGGAACAUCUCGUCUUCGCCGUGAAUCGCGUGGUGGCCGAAACUCUAGUAGCCAACUUCUCCAGACUUCUCCAGUCAUCGUCUGCGGCAAUUGCAGAUCGCCGGAGUGGCCUCCUCUGGCCAUAGAGAGGCCUUGCCGUUUGCCGCCGCUGUCGUCGGCAGUCAUGUGGCGGAUUGAAGCGCCGGAGGGCGCCGCUUCGACGCGCCUACAGAGGAGGGCGUCGUCAACCAUGGGGUGCCUCAGCCGCCUGCAUCGCGCGCUGGUGCUGCGCCGCUGGAGCGCUGUCGAGGCCGAGGGUCCUCGUGUCCUUGGGGCCGGAGGGAGGCUAGUUGAUGCCGACACAAACAGAGUGAUGCCACAUCGAUCAUACAGAUGGGAAGAGAUGACAAGCCUGAGGGACCACGCAUUGUUCUUGGGGCCAACGUGUGCCAAGGCGAUGCACGUGCCGUUGGGUCAAAGGGGUGGCCCGUGUAGAAACCAUGUCUACUACACCCACCAUCGAUGCUACGCACGAAAGGAACGUCUGCCCGAUGACGCCAAGGAGUUCAUGACAAGUUUGUUUUUAGUAAAAAUCAAUCCCGUGUAA